rnacentral:rRNA from 1 species
GACAGAGGGUGCAAACGUUGUUCGGAAUUACUGGGCGUAAAGCGUGUGUAGGCGGCUUCGUAAGUCGGAUGUGAAAGCCCCGGGCUCAACCUGGGAAGUGCACUCGAAACUGCAAAGCUUGAGUAUCGGAGAGGUUGGUAGAAUUCUCGGUGGAGAGGUGAAAUUCGUAGAUAUCGGGAGGAACACCGGUGGCGAAGGCGGCGGCCUGGGUUGACACUGACGCUGAGGCGCGAAAGCGUGGGGAGCAAACAGG